rnacentral:rRNA from 1 species
CAGCCGCCGCGGUAAUACGGAGGGGGCUAGCGUUAUUCGGAAUUACUGGGCGUAAAGCGCACGUAGGCGGAUCAGAAAGUCAGAGGUGAAAUCCCAGGGCUCAACCUUGGAACUGCCUUUGAAACUCCUGAUCUUGAGGUCGAGAGAGGUGAGUGGAAUUCCGAGUGUAGAGGUGGAAUUCGUAGAUAUUCGGAGGAACACCAGUGGCGAAGGCGGCUCACUGGCUCGAUACUGACGCUGAGGUGCGAAAGCGUGGGGAGCAAACAGGAUUAGAUACCCCCGUAGUCCCUGUCUCUUAUAC